AUUGAACGCUGGCGGCAGGCUUAACACAUGCAAGUCGAGCGGGGAUUGGGUGCUUGCACCUAAUCUUAGCGGCGGACGGGUGAGUAAUGCUUAGGAAUCUGCCAUUUAGUGGGGGACAACAUUCCGAAAGGGAUGCUAAUACCGCAUACGCCCUACGGGGGAAAGCAGGGGAUCUUCGGACCUUGCGCUAAAUGAUGAGCCUAAGUCGGAUUAGCUAGUUGGUGGGGUAAAGGCCUACCAAGGCGACGAUCUGUAGCGGGUCUGAGAGGAUGAUCCGCCACACUGGGACUGAGACACGGCCCAGACUCCUACGGGAGGCAGCAGUGGGGAGUAUUGGACAAUGGGCGGAAGCCUGAUCCAGCCAUGCCGCGUGUGUGAAGAAGGCCUUUUGGUUGUAAAGCACUUUAAGCGAGGAGGAGGCUACCUGGAUUAAUACUCUAGGAUAGUGGACGUUACUCGCAGAAUAAGCACCGGCUAACUCUGUGCCAGCAGCCGCGGUAAUACAGAGGGUGCGAGCGUUAAUCGGAUUUACUGGGCGUAAAGCGUGCGUAGGCGGCUGAUUAAGUCGGAUGUGAAAUCCCUGAGCUUAACUUAGGAAUUGCAUUCGAUACUGGUCAGCUAGAGUAUGGGAGAGGAUGGUAGAAUUCCAGGUGUAGCGGUGAAAUGCGUAGAGAUCUGGAGGAAUACCGAUGGCGAAGGCAGCCAUCUGGCCUAAUACUGACGCUGAGGUACGAAAGCAUGGGGAGCAAACAGGAUUAGAUACCCUGGUAGUCCAUGCCGUAAACGAUGUCUACUAGCCGUUGGGGCCUUUGAGGCUUUAGUGGCGCAGCUAACGCGAUAAGUAGACCGCCUGGGGAGUACGGUCGCAAGACUAAAACUCAAAUGAAUUGACGGGGGCCCGCACAAGCGGUGGAGCAUGUGGUUUAAUUCGAUGCAACGCGAAGAACCUUACCUGGCCUUGACAUAGUAGAAACUUUCCAGAGAUGGAUUGGUGC
rnacentral:rRNA from 1 species